UACGUAGGGCGCAAGCGUUGUCCGGAAUUAUUGGGCGUAAAGAGCUCGUAGGCGGUCUGUCGCGUCGGAUGUGAAAGCCCGGGGCUUAACCCCGGGUCUGCAUUCGAUACGGGCAGACUAGAGUGUGGUAGGGGAGAUCGGAAUUCCUGGUGUAGCGGUGAAAUGCGCAGAUAUCAGGAGGAACACCGAUGGCGAAGGCAGUUCUCUGGGCCGUAACUGACGCUGAGGAGCGAAAGCGUGGGGAGCGAACAGG
rnacentral:rRNA from 1 species